rnacentral:rRNA from 1 species
GGCGAACGCUGGCGGCGUGCUUAACACAUGCAAGUCGAACGGAAAGGCCCUGCUUUUGUGGGGUGCUCGAGUGGCGAACGGGUGAGUAACACGUGAGUAACCUGCCCUUGACUUUGGGAUAACUUCAGGAAACUGGGGCUAAUACCGGAUAGGAGCUCCUGCUGCAUGGUGGGGGUUGGAAAGUUUCGGCGGUUGGGGAUGGACUCGCGGCUUAUCAGCUUGUUGGUGGGGUAGUGGCUUACCAAGGCUUUGACGGGUAGCCGGCCUGAGAGGGUGACCGGCCACAUUGGGACUGAGAUACGGCCCAGACUCCUACGGGAGGCAGCAGUGGGGAAUAUUGCACAAUGGGCGGAAGCCUGAUGCAGCAACGCCGCGUGCGGGAUGACGGCCUUCGGGUUGUAAACCGCUUUCGCCUGUGACGAAGCGUGAGUGACGGUAAUGGGUAAAGAAGCACCGGCUAACUACGUA